CUCUCCAUGGCGGAAUCGGCAGACGCGCCAGCCUCAAACCCUGGAGCCUUCGGGCAGUGUCCGUUCGAGUCGGACUGGAGAGACCA
rnacentral:tRNA from 1 species